rnacentral:rRNA from 1 species
CCCUUAGAGUUUGAUCCUGGCUCAGGAUGAACGCUGGCGGCGCGCCUAACACAUGCAAGUCGAACGGCACCCAUCUUCGGAUGGAAGCGAGUGGCGAACGGCUGAGUAACACGUGGAGAACCUGCCCCCUCCCCCGGGAUAGCCGCCCGAAAGGACGGGUAAUACCGGAUACCCCGGGGUGCCGCAUGGCACCCCGGCUAAAGCCCCGACGGGAGGGGAUGGCUCCGCGGCCCAUCAGGUAGACGGCGGGGUGACGGCCCACCGUGCCGACAACGGGUAGCCGGGUUGAGAGACCGACCGGCCAGAUUGGGACUGAGACACGGCCCAGACUCCUACGGGAGGCAGCAGUGGGGAAUCUUGCGCAAUGGGGGGAACCCUGACACAGCGACGCCGCGUGCGGGACGGAGGCCUUCGGGUCGUAAACCGCUUUCAGCAGGGAAGAGUCAAGACUGUACCUGCAGAAGAAGCCCCGGCUAACUACGUGCCAGCAGCCGCGGUAAUACGUAGGGGGCGAGCGUUAUCCGGAUUCAUUGGGCGUAAAGCGCGCGUAGGCGGCCCGGCAGGCCGGGGGUCGAAGCGGGGGGCUCAACCCCCCGAAGCCCCCGGAACCUCCGCGGCUUGGGUCCGGUAGGGGAGGGUGGAACACCCGGUGUAGCGGUGGAAUGCGCAGAUAUCGGGUGGAACACCGGUGGCGAAGGCGGCCCUCUGGGCCGAGACCGACGCUGAGGCGCGAAAGCUGGGGGAGCGAACAGGAUUAGAUACCCUGGUAGUCCCAGCCGUAAACGAUGGACGCUAGGUGUGGGGGGACGAUCCCCCCGGGCCGCAGCCAACGCAUUAAGCGUCCCGCCUGGGGAGUACGGCCGCAAGGC